ACCGACUGAGUUGUUUAUUGAUUUUGGACAGAAUAUGAACUCAAAGGUCAGUCUGGGAGUGUCCACAAUGCUUUGCUAACACUCUUGGCUGAGGGGCACCUGCUAGUGACUACAGUCCAGCCCCACCCCCUUUUCUGUAUAUACAUCCCAGCCUCAGUGAAUCACCAUUGGUGGGAAGGGAAGCUCCGCUCACACAGGCCAGCAAGGACCGGCACAAACUGCUGAACAACAGUAGAGGAGAUUCACAGAGAGAAAGUGGCCAUGGACCUGAUUCCAAGCUUUUCCACGGAAACCUGGCUCCUCCUGGCUACCAGCCUGGUGCUCCUUUAUCUAUACGGGACCUCCACACAUGGACUUUUUAAGAAGCUGGGAAUUCCUGGGCCGACACCUCUGCCUUUUGUGGGAAAUAUUCUGGACUACCGUAAGGGCUUUUGGAAUAUUGACAAGAAAUAUUUUAAGAAAUAUGGAAGAUUUUGGGGGUGAGUAUUCUGGAAACUUCCAUUGGAUAGGCCGGUUAUGAUGAGGCUCCCAGCCAUGGAGACAGUCUCAGUCGAGAGCCCCUUGGGACGAAGCCCACUGUAGUAAAGCUUCUGGACUCUCUUCUUCCUGGGAUCCCAUGUAUCACCAGGUGUACAGAUCUAAAUGUGAUCGGGCCUGGAGAGCUGCAGAUCAUCACUGAUCUCCAAACAUUGGUGACCGGGGACUCCUAGCAUCGCUUUCUAUCCUGUCUUGUGAUUACCCUCUUCUCCAUUUUCCUCCUUAUGUCCCCUUUAAAUGCAAAAAUGCAUUAUUUCAAGCCUUUCUAAUAUGUGGCCAUAAGUGCAUCUUAUUACCUCUUGCCCACAUGAUUCACUUUUCGUUAAAAGCCAGAGAUCCCUUAUUUAAAUUUUGGAUUAAAUAUGUCCUUUUUAAAGGUGGGCUGUAGGGGUGUCAGUAGACAGAAUGGGAAGCCAUUUCUGCUCAGUUUUUUCUUUCUCUGCAAGUGUGGAGUCUAUUUUGUUUUUUAUAUGAGGCCAAGUCUAGUCUUUCAAUGCAAGUGUAUACAAAUGUUUCUUUAUUCUACAGACUUGAAGAGAUGUAGAAUAUUUCUAAACCACAGUGUUUCUUGGUGCGCUGAUAGACUUGGUGAUUUUGUAGAGUGGGCUCUGCUGCUUGCAGUGGAUGCUCCCAUUCAGAGUGGCUGGAGGUUUGGUGACGUAGAGGGGGAGGUGUAGGGUGGUGCUGGGAUGCUUACAGCCCGUGUUGUACCUUUUUCAUCAAAUCCUCAGACACCACAGGGUCCUGCUGAGUUGGCGUGGCCCAUAAGCAACGUGAUGGCAUAGAAAGAACACAGAUCUCUAGAUCACUACUAGUUCUGUUCCACUGCCCCUUCCUAUAUUCAGUACUGGGCAGCUCUGGAUGGAGCCAGUCUUAAAUCAUUGGCCCCAGUUCUGUCCUUAGUAAAUGGUUCUCGUGCUUAGCUAUAGAAAAGAACCACAUGGGAGAGAGAGCUUGCUAAAAAUGCAGAUUCUUGAUUUCCAUCCCUCAGCAACACCAAGUCUGGAAGAUGUGGGGUGGAACCCAAGAAUCUGAAUUUAACUGGUAGUGGAAGCUGUAUUAGGGCCAUGUGAGACCAUGAAUAUAAAGUGUUACCCCAAACCACUGUCCAUUGUCCACCCAGGUGUUUUUGAACAAACAGGAUGGGACGAGGGGAAUCAUCCAAGAAAUAUGAUCAGGCUGCUGGGAGAGUAGACCUGAGUGCCACCUCAGUAAAUUCUAUCACUGCUUCAACACUAGGUGUACUCAUCUCCCACUGAAACCUUCUGAGUUUUACUUUUUGGACACGGGUAGCAUUUAGUAGAGUGGUUCUCAGUCAUUUUUAGAUGUGAUCACAAAGCCAUUUGAAAGUCCUCUGUGACGUCAGAGAAAGAAUAGGGGACUUAUGGAAAAUCUUCCAUUUUGUUCUGGCAAAUGCAAACAUUUUAUACUGGAAAACAAAAUGCCAGAGGAUGGUGUAAUUAAGCUUAAAAUAAACCUCAUGCCCAUUGCCCCUUGCCUUUCACAGGCAUAUUGACAGUCAGGAGGUCAGGCUAG